rnacentral:rRNA from 1 species
GGAUUUCUUCGGAUGAAGUGACUGAGCGGCGGACGGGUGAGUAACGCGUGGGUACCUGCCUCAUACAGGGGGAUAACAGUUGGAAACGGCUGCUAAUACCGCAUAAGACCGCAUGGUAAAAACUCCGGUGGUAUGAGAUGGACCCGCGUCUGAUUAGGUAGUUGGUGGGGUAACGGCCUACCAAGCCGACGAUCAGUAGCCGACCUGAGAGGGUGACCGGCCACAUUGGGACUGAGACACGGCCCAAACUCCUACGGGAGGCAGCAGUGGGGAAUAUUGCACAAUGGGGGAAACCCUGAUGCAGCGACGCCGCGUGAGCGAUGAAGUAUUUCGGUAUGUAAAGCUCUAUCAGCAGGGAAGAAAAUGACGGUACCUGACUAAGAAGCCCCGGCUAACUACGUGCCAGCAGCCGCGGUAAUACGUAGGGGGCAAGCGUUAUCCGGAUUUACUGGGUGUAAAGGGAGCGUAGACGGCAUGGCAAGCCAGAUGUGAAAGCCCGGGGCUCAACCCCGGGACUGCAUUUGGAACUGUCAGGCUAGAGUGUCGGAGAGGAAAGCGGAAUUCCUAGUGUAGCGGUGAAAUGCGUAGAUAUUAGGAGGAACACCAGUGGCGAAGGCGGCUUUCUGGACGAUGACUGACGUUGA